UACGGAGGGUGCAAGCGUUGUCCGGAAUCACUGGGCGUAAGGGGCGCGUAGGCGGCCUGGUAAGUAGGGGGUGAAAUCCUGCGGCUUAACCGCAGGGCUGCCUUCUAAACUGUCAGGCUUGAGCACGGUGGAGGCAGAUGGAAUUCCCGGUGUAGCGGUGGAAUGCGUAGAGAUCGGGAAGAACAUCAGUGGCGAAGGCGGUCUGCUGGGCCGUUGCUGACGCUGAGGCGCGACAGCGUGGGGAGCAAACAGG
rnacentral:rRNA from 1 species